CUACAUGAAGCUGGAAUCGCUAGUAAUCGCAGAUCAGAAUGCUGCGGUGAAUGCGUUCCCGGGUCUUGUACACACCGCCCGUCACACCAUGGGAGUUGGUAACGCCCGAAGCCAGUGACCCAACCGAGAGGAGGGAGCUGUCGAAGGUGGGACCGAUAACUGGGGUGAAGUCGUAACAAGGUAUC
rnacentral:rRNA from 1 species